GUGAAUCAUCGAAUCUUUGAACGCAAAUUGCACUCUCUCCGGUGAGUGUGCCUGUGUGAGGGUCAGCCUAAAAAAAAUCGACAUAGUCGCUGUUUCGCGGUGACAUGCGGCGGAAAUUGGGUCAUCUUAAACCUGGGGGUUUUAAGCGGCUUAAAAUUUUCUUUACGAUUCCACGAACGUUUCUAAGAUUUACUUCUUAUACGUUUAAUGUAUAUAUCUUUAUUAGACGUGGCCGUU
rnacentral:misc_RNA from 1 species